UUGGAGGGCAAGUCUGGUGCCAGCAGCCGCGGUAAUUCCAGCUCCAAUAGCGUAUAUUAAAGUUGUUGCAGUUAAAAAGCUCGUAGUUGAAUUUCGGGAUCAAUGUUUCGGUCAUGCCGUUGGUAUGUACUGAUAUUAUUGAUUUCUCACCUUCUAAAGAACCGUAAUGCCAUUAAUUUGGUGUCACGGGGAAUUAGGACUGUUACCUUGAAAAAAUUAGAGUGUUUAAAGCAGGCUCACGCUUGAAUACAUUAGCAUGGAAUAAUGAAAUAGGACAUCCGAUUCUAUUUUGUUGGUUUCUAGGAUCGAUGUAAUGAUUAAUAGGGAUAGUUGGGGGCAUUAGUAUUCAAUUGUCAGAGGUGAAAUUCUUGGAUUUAUUGAAGACUAACUACUGCGAAAGCAUUUGCCAAGGAUGUUUUCAUUAAUCAAGAACGAAAGUUAGGGGAUCGAAGACGAUCAGAUACCGUCGUAGUCUUAACCAUAAACUAUGCCGACUAGGGAUCGGAUGAUGUUAAUUUUUUAAUGGCUCAUUCGGCGCCUUACGGGAAACCAAAGUGUUUGGGUUC
rnacentral:rRNA from 1 species